rnacentral:lncRNA from 1 species
AUUCAUUGCUAUUUUCUAAGCUAUGAAAUGCUUCUUCUUCUUCUGGGAAACACAUAAAUUGCUCAACCCUUCAAGUACACAGUCACCUGUUCUUGUUAAUAAUAGCAAUAAUAAUCUAUCAGUGCAUGCGAAGGGGGGUCCCAUUAGUAUUAAGUUUAUAAGCCAGCAAGGAAUAAUAGCGGGGUAGAUGUCCCCGAGAACAGCUGCCAUCAGACGAGCUGCCAAGGAAGUUCUAAUUAGAGCAUGAACUGUAUCUGUUAGCACAAAGACUUGCUGCAAAACUGUCAAUUUUGGAAAUUAGUACUGCCGUGUUUCCAACGCUCACUCUUGUGUGGAAAUAUUUGCAAGCGAAUCUUCAGUUCCAUAUUCAGCAC